UGUGCCAGCAGCCGCGGUAAUACGGAGGGUGCGAGCGUUAAUCGGAAUAACUGGGCGUAAAGGGCACGCAGGCGGACUUUUAAGUGAGGUGUGAAAGCCCCGGGCUUAACCUGGGAAUUGCAUUUCAGACUGGGAGUCUAGAGUACUUUAGGGAGGGGUAGAAUUCCACGUGUAGCGGUGAAAUGCGUAGAGAUGUGGAGGAAUACCGAAGGCGAAGGCAGCCCCUUGGGAAUGUACUGACGCUCAUGUGCGAAAGCGUGGGGAGCAAACAGGAUUAG
rnacentral:rRNA from 1 species